GGCCCCAUCGUCUAGUGGUUAGGACACAGGCCUCUCAAGCCUGGAACAGGGGUUCAAAUCCCCUUGGGGUCACCA
rnacentral:tRNA from 2 species